CUUUGAUCAUCUUUACAAUCAUUACUGAAUCAUUACUAAUCAUUUUCUCUUUCUUGGGUAGAUUGCCUAUCUCCACGUCACUUAGUUCUUCUUCUGGGAUUUCAUCUUCUUCCUUUGUCUGGAACAUUUCUUUGCUGCCUCAUUUUGUCUAAAUUUCUAUUUGUAUUGUUACGUUUGUGGUAAGUUAGUCAUGUUUCUCGACCUUGGGGAAGUGGCUCUCUGUAGGAGGUGUCAAAUGCAUCUCAAGCAGGGCACUCCCCUCUUGUCACCCAAGGGCCAGGGGCCAGCAGGUGCCAGGACAGCAUCUGGCCUGUGUUUGCAGACUCAGUCACCAGGCUGUGGGAUCAUAGUUUUCUCGCUUCUGGUGGAUGAGGCUGGUCUAGAGGGUUGGGCCAGCUUCUUGGCAGGAGGGGCUGGUAUGCCCACUGAUGGCUGGAGCUGGUCCUACCGGAGGGCCAUGUCUAAAGGUGGCUGUGGGCUCAGGAGGUCUUUAGGCAGCCUGUCUACUGAUGAGUGGGGAUGUUUCUCCUCUUAGUUUGGCCCAACACGUCCCAACACUGGAUCCUACAAGCUGUUGGGUGGGGCCAGGUCUUGGUACCAAGCAAGAUGUCAGCCUCCAGGAGAGUUCAUGCAGAUGAAUAUUCCCCGAUAUGUCCACCACUGUGUCCCUAGGGUGAGCCACAGCCACCCUUGCCUCUCCAGGAGACCCUUUAAGACCAGCAGGUAGGUCUGGCCCAGUAGCCUAUGAAAUUUUGUCUGCGGUCCUGGUGAGCCUGAGAUUUUUGUGUGCAUCCUUACAAGUGAAGUUUCUAUUUCCUCCAGUUCUGUGGAGCUCCUGCAGUUAAACCCUGGUGGCCUUCAAAGCUAAAUACUCUGGGGGCUUCUCAUUCUGGUGCUGGACCCCUGGGCUAGGGAGCCUGACGUGGGGCUCAGAACUCUCCUGUGGGAAAUCUUCUACAAUAUAGAUAUUCACCAGUUCGUCAGUCGUCCACUGGAGGGGUGUGGGGUUUGAUUGUAUCCCAGGUCCACCUCUCCUACCCAUCUUGUGGCUGCUUCUUUAUGUUUUUAGUUAUGGAAGAUCUUUGCUGGUAGGCUCCAGUCGUUUUUAUUGAUGGUGGUUGUGCAGUUAGUUGUGACUUUGAUGUGUUCAUGAGAGGAGGUGAGUGCUGGCUCCUUCUGCUCUACCAUCUUGGCCACCAGCCUUUUAGCCCAGUUUGAAGAGAACUGCAGAUUAUCCCUGACCCAGAGUUGAGGUCACGGUUCAUGGAGCUCAUGUCUGCCUCUUGGGCCAAGGGCCUUGAGAGGCAAGAAUGGGGAGGACUGUGUUUUGUCCAGCUGGGCCUCAGCAAAUACUGAUUCUGGAGCUGAAUGUCCUCCUAACAACCCAGCACACAGCUCUUUGAGCUCAUGAGCUCACCUUCUGGGUUUCUGCAGUUACUGUCAGUAGCCACUUCACCCAGGCAGCCUCCCCGCCUAGUCUACUGAAGCCCGUCUCAGUAUCCACGCGGUUAGGGAUUCUCCAGAGGAACGAACCCCUGGUUCUAAGUGAGUGGCUGGGGAGUGGGGGGUGGAGAUGGCAGCCCCUGUAUCCGCCUCUCCUUCCCUUCACCCUCAUCAUUAGUGUAUCUGCCACAGCUCUCAGCUUCUGCUUUCAGAAGCUCCAUGGUCCCAGCUGUGUUUCCUUUGUCCCUAUGCUAUAAAAUCUUACAUUUGUUUAAUGUUUUAAACUUUUAAAACACUUUCAUUUAUCUUUCAGCAGCUCCAUGAGUGGUGAGGGCAAGAGGUUACAGAACUUGCCUAAAGUCAUGAGGUUGAUUGUUAAUGCAAAGGCAAGGGUAGAAUCCAAGCCUCUUUCUGUUCCAUGUUACUAACAAUCAUGCAGUUGGAUUUUGGGGAGCAAAACAGUGGGCCAGAGUGAAUUAAGUCAACGGCCUGCAUCUGCCUUAGAUUUAGGUCCCAAUUACCAGAGAAACUAUUUUGAAAUAAGGUGAAAUUAAGAGCCUCUUCCUUGUUCCAGAGACCUUGAUGUUCCGUUUUCCCCAGCAUUCCUCCCUCACUCCCGUUUGCACAUGUAGCAUGAGGAACAUGUCCCUGGGAGUAUGUAACAGGUUCCUGAUAAAACAGAAAGCUUUUCGGGCUCUGAUCACACAUGUUGCUGGCUCAGUCCCUUUCCCAGCUACUGCCCUGGCUACCCUUACCUGGCUCCCUUGCACAGGGCACCUCAUACCCUUUCCAAGGGCACCUCACAAGGACAUCUCUGACUGCCAGAUCUUCCAAAGUAUGACCUGCUUAGCUGCCAGAAGCCACUUCAGUGCAAUCUUAGCUUGGCCUACAAGUCAGCCCUAGGCUUGCUGGGGAAGGUUAGAGGCAAAGGCUGUGACACCAGAAAGACACCAGAAGCUGUAUUAUGGUGAGUUGUUGGUGCCCUCAGUAAACAAGAUAAUGGCUAUGUAUGCAUUUCCAGUGGGGCUCCUGAUAAACAAAAUUACGUAGUAAAUGUUAGUCUUCUGUUCCCCGAACAGACCCUACCUGUAAGGUUAUCAUUCCUGUGCCAGGUUAGUCCUGUACAGAACUUUAGGUCGCACUAGAAACCACCACCCACCUCAAACCUGUUAUUCUGCUGCAGGGGGUAAUCUGGGCAAAUAGCACAGCAAAACGGAGGAGUAUUUUUUUUUUUUUUACCUUGGAGGUGCUCCAGCUGAUUGCCUUGCCCAGAGGUGGCUCCCAGUGGGCUGUGGGGCACAGCGGUUAGGAGCCGACCCCGGAGCCGGGGCCCCAUCCUCAGGAUGCGCACACUCAGGGGCCGAAGGCAGUGAUUAGUCAACCGGAGCUGAACGUGGACUCUGGUGUGAAUCUUAAUCAGACUCUUCCCCAUGGUGGCCCAGGAAGGCAGAUACUUCUUCAGUGGAAACCAGCUGAUCUCUUCAUGGAAACCAGCCAGGUAGGAGAAGGCGAAAACCAGCUAGCGACAAAGGAUUUUCACUGAUCUCAUGCCGUGGCAGCCCCUUUGCAGCGCCUCCCGUGCUGGAGAGAGAAGGUCGGUGCCGCGAGUCUCCGACCUUCAGCGAGCAGGCUGAGCUGCAGGGAAGGGGCGGCUCCCAGAGGCCAACGUUAUCAGGGCACUGACCAGUCAGAAGCACUUAGAGCCAUAAAAAGUAAUGCUUUCCAGCCUGUAGCUGUUUCCCUGAGGCCCAAAUAAGGGCCCCAGACCUCUAAGAGGGUGAGGGUCUGAGAGAGGACAGGGGACAGUCUCAGAGGGUAGGGGGAAUCAAGACUGUCCAGAAAAUCCAAGAUGUGAAGCUACAAAGACAAUGGGCUUUGCGUUGGGUAGCUCUGGGGCUGGAAAGGGGCUGUGUCCCAUCCUCCAUGGGGCUCCACACUGUUCGGCCGGCUGCCGAGGGGUGCCCCCCAGGGCGUGUGGGUGAGAGGAACUGACACACCUGAGUGUCCUCUCUAAGUCAGGCCUGAAAAAAUAACCUAUGUUAUCCUGGCAUCCCUGAGAGCAGAGGGCAGGGCCAAUCAAUGUAGUCAUCUUUUAAAGGGUCUCAGUUCAUUGAUUACUUGGUUUCAUUCGAACUGGAAUGUCAUGUUAAUGGUUUCUGCAAUUUUCCCCAUUGUUUUUGGAGAUAGCAAACAAAGCUUUCCCCAAGAAAAGGCAAAUGGGGUCUGUGAUACUAUGUGCCUUGUGGACUAUAGGAAAGGCAGUUCAUGAUGGAGCACGAACCAGUUUCAAAUGUUCACAACUUCCUGGGGUUUUGAGGGUUUGUGCCAUUUUUCUGAGUUCUGCAUCACAUCCCUCUCACCCUUCCCUGCCUGGCUGGGGUGGACGAGCUGUGUUAGGUAGGUGCUUAAAGGCAAAACCCCCUCUUGAGAGAUGGUGCAGCUGAACUCUAGCCUCCUGAAAUAAUCCAGUCUUUAUUUCCCCAGGCUUGAUGAUCCCUGUACUGACAGAGCCACUUAGCUAGUGAAAUCUUGUAUUUUUUCCACAUCCAAACCAGAUGUCCAUCUGCCUCACCUCACCCUGAGUUUCAUUCUGCCUUUACAGAUCACACUCGGGUGAUACAGAAUGAGUCAGUGACGCUUCACAUCAAACCAGAGAGCCUCCCGGACAAGCGGCAGAGCCAUCUCCUUCCUAACCUAAGCGGGUCUUCACUUUCAUCAACAAGCAGCAUUCCCACAGGGAGGGCGAAGGGCCUUCCCUUCCCGGCCUCCAGGACAGAGACAGGGUUGAAGCAAUCCUCCCGCUGUGUCCUGCUGCUUGAGAUUUUCUGAGGUCCUACAAAAUGGCAUGUUCUGGAAUGAAAGCUUCCACUGUACACCUGUAUCCAGCCUGUCGGGCAAGCCGGCUCAGUGACAACAGCUGGAGAGCAAUAUUGCGAGUCUACUCACAGAACUGACGGCCCAGAGGUGGGGGCGGCGUCAGCCUCAGCUGGGGUAUCUCGUUCGGUGAAGACACACAGACUUUGUCUCUCCUCCUGCCUCCAUCCACCUCCUCCAGAUGGAGGGAACAGCAGUGAGAGAUGGGGCAUGUUGGGCUUCCUGAGACAGUGUUAAAGAAUUCAGGUAGCAAGAGGACAGAUUUCUACAACUGAAGUAGAAGGCGGCUGCAGCUACUGGAAUGCUUCAGAGCAAGAGUUUUAAUUUCUUGUGUAACUGCCUCAGCCAGCCUGAUCAUUUAAGCUGUGGAGACUGGUCACCAGAUCUGGAACACAAGUGAAAGCUUCUUGACAGAAGGCAAGUUCAGAACUGCAUGGAAGGUGGUAGAUUCCGUUCACAAAGGUCUCUCCCAAAGGUCUAGCCCCAUACUCUCAGACGUCCAAACCCUCCUGGACCACAGCUCAGCAGGGCUUGAUGGAAUUCCCUUUCACCUGACACCCAGCUGGUGUGCCCACCCACUGGAGGAAGCCUUCUCCCUACCCCUGGAGAAACCUGCCGCUGUCUGUAAGGCAUAUUCACUUCUUUCAAAGGUCUGUGAGGAACUGGUCCAAGUGAUAAUUUAGAGGAACCCGUGUCACCUCCAGAGCUCAUGCUCACCUUCCAUGAUGGAGAUGUGAACAGCUCUUCUCCGGGUCCUAGGGACGCUGCUCAGCCUUGGGCCAUGGGUUAUGGAGGGACAGCUGCGGCUGGGAACCAUCCCUGCUCUGAGGUUAAAGAAAAAGGGAACUGUUAACUCAGCGCACAGAUUAGGUCAGGACUCAGAGUUGAGGAGUGGUCGCUAGAACCUACCUAGCUGUGUUGUUUUAUUUUGUGUUUUUUUUUUUUAAAUCUUUAAUGCCUGCCUUUUGCCUUUAGUCCCUGGAGCCCAGUCAGAGACACUGCUUGUCAACUUCCUUAUAGCCCAGACCCACCUGAAUCUUCCUUUAGUGUGGCAACGGCACCACUGAUCUCUGGGCAGGAUGUCAGGGAGGAGAGCCCGGGAUAUGCCCUACUCCUAAAAAUGGGCCUGAGACCGAUAUGGCGGCCUCCCCUGACCUCCAACAGAGGCGACAGAUGUGAAGGCAGGUAGUACUUGUUCCCCUUCCCCGAGGUCAGGCUGGUGGGCAAACCCUGGCCCUCUUGGCCAGUCACGUUUUUCCGGGGUCGAUCAGGUUCGAGAAGAUGGGCUUCUGGACAUGCAUGAUUUACGGUUUUACAUAAAGCAUGGGUCCCAAAACUAUUUCAGACCUAGUAUGACUGGCUUCCUGUAAUGGACUGAUUCUAGAACCCAUGGAAUCUUGCUGCAUGGACAUGUCCUCCAUGGUCUACGACCAAUUUCAGGACUUGGGAGGACAGUACAGAAUUACCCAGGAAGGUGGCUCCCGGGUCUGAUGUACUAUCUGCAUUAGUCUGCCCUCCCUCAUUCUCCAUCAAGGCUCAGGGAACCCGGGCCAGACUGUUCCCCAUGCCUCAGCUGAAAUGGGUCUCUUCACCCUCCUGCUCUGUUCAGGAGCCAUCACAGCCAGAAUCCCCACAGUAUGCACACUGCUGGCUCUUUUAAGAUUCUGAGAGCUCAGCUGGACUUGGUUUUGGGGGAAGCCCCUGGCAGCCUACCUGUGUAUUUCCGGUGGCUCCCGUUUGAUCUUGGCACUUGAUUCCAUUACCUCCUUCGCAACUCGGCCACUAGAAUUGGUGUAAUAAAACAAGCAGCAAGGAAUGAGACAGUGUUCCAGGACUGGGCUCCUCUCCAAGACCUCAGAUACUCUGGCUGAAUUGGGAAGUGGCCUCUUUGGCCUCCCCCUUCCCAAUGUUUAGGUCACUGAGAAAGGCUGGCUGGGGUAAAGGGCUCUAAGGUGUCCUGAUGGCUUUCUUAGAGAGCUCCCUCUCUCUCUGAAGUCUUUGGGGUCUUCCAUUCUCAUUUAGGAAUGAUUCCUCACUGUCCAGCAUGUUCCAAAAAUAUUGCAAAAACUCUUUAGACAGACAUGAAUAGAAUCACUGUUACAGCUCUUAUUUUGCUGCUGUUUUAAGGGCAGGAGGAGACAAUACACAUUUUAAGCCCCACAGACAAACAGCCUCAGGGAUAGAAAGAAAGAGUCAAAGGGUUAGGAGACAGGAGAAUUGGAUGGAAACCUCAUGCUUUUCUGGAGGCUCCCAGUGUCUUUGUUCUCAAGGGUAAGGACCACUGAGCCACUGUUCUCCAGAGAAGGGUCUAAAAAUAGGUCCAUAACGGUUACUUACUGUCACUAUUUACCUGUAUCGGAACCGGCUCCCUUUAAAGAAUAAAUUGCUGCUGGACACUG